CGGCGAGCGAAAAGAAAAUAGUUCAGCACUAAGUCACUUUGUCUUUAUGGCAAAUGUGAGAUGCAGUGUAUGGAAUGUCAAAUUUCUAGUAUGAGAAAUUAACGAUUUAAGUCCUUCUUAAAUGAGGCCAUUUACCCAAAGAGGGUGCCAGGCCCGUAUAACGUUAAUGAUUACUAGAUGGCAUUUCCAAAGAGUCGUGUUGCUUGAUAGUGCAGCACUAAGUGGGUGGUAAACUCCAUCUAAAACUAAAUAUAACCAUGAGACCGAUAGUAAACAAGUACCGUGAGGGAAAGUUGAAAAGAACUCUGAAUAGAGAGUUAAAUAGUACGUGAAACUGCUUAGAGGUUAAGCCCGAUGAACCUGAAUAUCCGUUAUGGAAAAUUCAUCAUUAUGAUUUUAAUAUUUAUAAUAUUAUAAUAAUGGUGUGCAUUUUUUCUAUAAAGGACAUUGUAAUCUAUUAACAUAAUAAAAUAUUUAUCAUAAGAUCAUUUGCGUAAGUUUAUUCAAAUUAUUUGCUUGCAAUUAAUAUCGAAUAAAUGCUUUUGAUUUGAUAAAGUGUUGAUAGAUUUAUUAUAUACAGUGCUUAAAUAUUUAUAUUUUAUAAUAUCAUAUUAAUCAAUGAUUUUUAUGUUCAUUAUAUGCACUUGUAUGAUU
rnacentral:rRNA from 1 species